rnacentral:rRNA from 1 species
GACGAGCCACACAAACGUUAUUCGGAAUUACUGGGCUUAAAGGGUGCGUAGGCGGCGCGGAAAGUUGGGUGUGAAAUCCCUCGGCUCAACCGAGGAAUGGCGCUCAAAACUACCGUGCUCGAGGGAGAUAGAGGAGUGCGGAACUUACUGUGGAGCGGUGAAAUGCGUUGAUAUCGUAGGGAACACCGGUGGCGAGAUCGCCACUCUGGAUCUCUUCUGACGCUGAUGCACGAAUGCUAGGGUAGCGACCGGG